GGUUAAGCGACUAAGCGUACACGGUGGAUGCCCUGGCAGUCAGAGGCGAUGAAGGACGUGCUAAUCUGCGAUAAGCGUCGGUAAGGUGAUAUGAACCGUUAUAACCGGCGAUUUCCGAAUGGGGAAACCCAGUGUGAUUCGUCACACUAUCAUUAACUGAAUCCAUAGGUUAAUGAGGCGAACCGGGGGAACUGAAACAUCUAAGUACCCCGAGGAAAAGAAAUCAACCGAGAUUCCCCCAGUAGCGGCGAGCGAACGGGGAGCAGCCCAGAGCCUGAAUCAGUGUGUGUGUUAGUGGAAGCGUCUGGAAAGGCGCGCGAUACAGGGUGACAGCCCCGUACACAAAAAUGCACAUGCUGUGAGCUCGAUGAGUAGGGCGGGACACGUGGUAUCCUGUCUGAAUAUGGGGGGACCAUCCUCCAAGGCUAAAUACUCCUGACUGACCGAUAGUGAACCAGUACCGUGAGGGAAAGGCGAAAAGAACCCCGGCGAGGGGAGUGAAAAAGAACCUGAAACCGUGUACGUACAAGCAGUGGGAGCACGCUUAGGCGUGUGACUGCGUACCUUUUGUAUAAUGGGUCAGCGACUUAUAUUCUGUAGCAAGGUUAACCGAAUAGGGGAGCCGAAGGGAAACCGAGUCUUAACUGGGCGUUAAGUUGCAGGGUAUAGACCCGAAACCCGGUGAUCUAGCCAUGGGCAGGUUGAAGGUUGGGUAACACUAACUGGAGGACCGAACCGACUAAUGUUGAAAAAUUAGCGGAUGACUUGUGGCUGGGGGUGAAAGGCCAAUCAAACCGGGAGAUAGCUGGUUCUCCCCGAAAGCUAUUUAGGUAGCGCCUCGUGAAUUCAUCUCCGGGGGUAGAGCACUGUUUCGGCAAGGGGGUCAUCCCGACUUACCAACCCGAUGCAAACUGCGAAUACCGGAGAAUGUUAUCACGGGAGACACACGGCGGGUGCUAACGUCCGUCGUGAAGAGGGAAACAACCCAGACCGCCAGCUAAGGUCCCAAAGUCAUGGUUAAGUGGGAAACGAUGUGGGAAGGCCCAGACAGCCAGGAUGUUGGCUUAGAAGCAGCCAUCAUUUAAAGAAAGCGUAAUAGCUCACUGGUCGAGUCGGCCUGCGCGGAAGAUGUAACGGGGCUAAACCAUGCACCGAAGCUGCGGCAGCGACGCUUAUGCGUUGUUGGGUAGGGGAGCGUUCUGUAAGCCUGUGAAGGUGUACUGUGAGGUAUGCUGGAGGUAUCAGAAGUGCGAAUGCUGACAUAAGUAACGAUAAAGCGGGUGAAAAGCCCGCUCGCCGGAAGACCAAGGGUUCCUGUCCAACGUUAAUCGGGGCAGGGUGAGUCGACCCCUAAGGCGAGGCCGAAAGGCGUAGUCGAUGGGAAACAGGUUAAUAUUCCUGUACUUGGUGUUACUGCGAAGGGGGACGGAGAAGGCUAUGUUGGCCGGGCGACGGUUGUCCCGGUUUAAGCGUGUAGGCUGGUUUUCCAGGCAAAUCCGGAAAACUAAGGCUGAGGCGUGAUGACGAGGCACUACGGUGCUGAAGCAACAAAUGCCCUGCUUCCAGGAAAAGCCUCUAAGCAUCAGGUAACAUCAAAUCGUACCCCAAACCGACACAGGUGGUCAGGUAGAGAAUACCAAGGCGCUUGAGAGAACUCGGGUGAAGGAACUAGGCAAAAUGGUGCCGUAACUUCGGGAGAAGGCACGCUGAUAUGUAGGUGAAGUCCCUCGCGGAUGGAGCUGAAAUCAGUCGAAGAUACCAGCUGGCUGCAACUGUUUAUUAAAAACACAGCACUGUGCAAACACGAAAGUGGACGUAUACGGUGUGACGCCUGCCCGGUGCCGGAAGGUUAAUUGAUGGGGUCAGCGCAAGCGAAGCUCUUGAUCGAAGCCCCGGUAAACGGCGGCCGUAACUAUAACGGUCCUAAGGUAGCGAAAUUCCUUGUCGGGUAAGUUCCGACCUGCACGAAUGGCGUAAUGAUGGCCAGGCUGUCUCCACCCGAGACUCAGUGAAAUUGAACUCGCUGUGAAGAUGCAGUGUACCCGCGGCAAGACGGAAAGACCCCGUGAACCUUUACUAUAGCUUGACACUGAACAUUGAGCCUUGAUGUGUAGGAUAGGUGGGAGGCUUUGAAGUGUGGACGCCAGUCUGCAUGGAGCCGACCUUGAAAUACCACCCUUUAAUGUUUGAUGUUCUAACGUUGACCCGUGAUCCGGGUUGCGGACAGUGUCUGGUGGGUAGUUUGACUGGGGCGGUCUCCUCCUAAAGAGUAACGGAGGAGCACGAAGGUUGGCUAAUCCUGGUCGGACAUCAGGAGGUUAGUGCAAUGGCAUAAGCCAGCUUGACUGCGAGCGUGACGGCGCGAGCAGGUGCGAAAGCAGGUCAUAGUGAUCCGGUGGUUCUGAAUGGAAGGGCCAUCGCUCAACGGAUAAAAGGUACUCCGGGGAUAACAGGCUGAUACCGCCCAAGAGUUCAUAUCGACGGCGGUGUUUGGCACCUCGAUGUCGGCUCAUCACAUCCUGGGGCUGAAGUAGGUCCCAAGGGUAUGGCUGUUCGCCAUUUAAAGUGGUACGCGAGCUGGGUUUAGAACGUCGUGAGACAGUUCGGUCCCUAUCUGCCGUGGGCGCUGGAGAACUGAGGGGGCUGCUCCUAGUACGAGAGGACCGGAGUGGACGCAUCACUGGUGUUCGGGUUGUCAUGCCAAUGGCACUGCCCGGUAGCUAAAUGCGGAAGAGAUAAGUGCUGAAAGCAUCUAAGCACGAAACUUGCCCCGAGAUGAGUUCUCCCUGACUCCUUGAGAGUCCUGAAGGAACGUUGAAGACGACGACGUUGAUAGGCCGGGUGUGUAAGCGCAGCGAUGCGUUGAGCUAACCGGUACUAAUGAACCGUGAGGCUUAACCUU
rnacentral:rRNA from 1 species